rnacentral:rRNA from 1 species
GACGAACCGUCCUAACGUUGUUCGGAUUCACUGGGCGUAAAGAGCGUGUAGGCGGCCACGCAGGUCCGUUGUGAAAACUGGAGGCUCAACCUCCAGCUGUCGACGGAAACCGUGUGGCUAGAGUCCGGAAGAGGAGAGUGGAAUUCCUGGUGUAGCGGUGAAAUGCGCAGAUAUCAGGAAGAACACCCGUGGCGAAGGCGGCUCUCUGGGACGGUACUGACGCUGAGACGCGAAAGCGUGGGGAGCGAACAGG